UACGUAGGGUGCGAGCGUUAAUCGGAAUUACUGGGCGUAAAGCGUGCGCAGGCGGUUUGCUAAGACCGAUGUGAAAUCCCCGGGCUUAACCUGGGAACUGCAUUGGUGACUGGCAGGCUAGAGUAUGGCAGAGGGGGGUAGAAUUCCGCGUGUAGCAGUGAAAUGCGUAGAGAUGUGGAGGAACACCGAUGGCGAAGGCAGCCCCCUGGGCCAAUACUGACGCUCAUGCACGAAAGCGUGGGGAGCAAACAGG
rnacentral:rRNA from 1 species